UCUGUUGCUUGGCUGAGGAGCCAAUGGGGCGAAGCUACCAUCUGUGGGAUUAUGAUUGAACGCCUCUAAGUCAGAAUCCCGCCCAGGCAGAACGA
rnacentral:miRNA from 1 species